rnacentral:rRNA from 1 species
CUGAAUAACUAUGCUGAUCGCACAGUCCUCGAACUGGCGACGUUUCUUUCAAAUGUCUGGCUUAUCAACUUUCGACGGUAGUAUACACGACUACCGUGGUAUUCACGGGUGACGGAGAAUUAGGGUUCGACUCCGGAGAGGGAGCCUGAGAAACGGCUACCACAUCCAAGGAAGGCAGCAGGCACGCAAAUUACCCACUCCCGGCACGGGGAGGUAGUGACGAAAAAUAACGAGACGGUUCUCUAAGAGGCCCGUCAUCGAAAUGGGUACAGUUUAAACCCCUUAACGAGGAUCUAUUGGAGGGCAAGUCUGGUGCCAGCAGCCGCGGUAAUUCCAGCUCCAAAAGCGUAUAUUAAAGUUGUUGCGGUUAAAAAG